rnacentral:rRNA from 1 species
UACAGAGGUCCCGAGCGUUUGUUCGGAUUCACUGGGCGUAAAGGGUGCGUAGGUGGCUGGAAAAGUUUGAUGUGAAAGCUCAGGGCUUAACCCUGAAAUGGCAUUGAAUACUGUCGAGCUGGAGGUUUGGAGGGGGGACUGGAAUUCUUGGUGUAGCAGUGAAAUGCGUAGAUAUCAAGAGGAACACCAGUGGCGAAGGCGAGUCCCUGGACAACACCUGACACUGAGGCACGAAAGCUAGGGGAGCAAACAGG